CCUGUGAAUGAGGCACGUGCAGCAAAGUUGCCUUAGCUAAAUAGCAGAUAAAUAGCAAACCUCCAGAUCUGUAAAUUGGCUUCUGCUAAAUGUAAUAACCAAGACCAGGAGGAAUUUCCCAGUGAGUUCUCUGCUUUCUGUGGCCACCCACCUCCAUUGCCUAUUGCCUCUGAGUAUGGAGUAUUAACAGUUUCUGUUCAAUAAUUAAUAAGAUGGCUAGAAGAUGGUGGAAGAGUAAGACAUGGAGAUCACCUUCCUCCCCACAAAUACAUCAGAAAUACAUCUACAUGUGGAACAAUUCUUACAGAACACCUACUGAAUGCUGGCAGAA